ensembl:lncRNA
AUGUGGUGCUGUUCUACUACAGUCAGUGGUGUGGCUAUAAAACUGUUGUGUUCUACAGGAUGUGGUGCUGUUCUACUACAGUCAGUGGUGUGGCUAUUAAAACUGUUGUGUCUCUACGGAUGUGGUGCUGUUCUACUACAGUCAGUGGUGGUGGAUAUAAAACGUGUUGUGUUCUACAGGAUGUGGUGCUGUUCUACUACAGUCAGUGGUGUGGAUAUAAAACGUGUUGUGUUCUACAGGAUGUGGUGCUGUUCUACUACAGUCAGUGGUGUGGAUAUAAAACGUGUUGUGUCUUCAGGAUGUGGUGCUGUUCUACUACAGCAGUGGUGUGGAUAUAAAAACGUGUUGUGUUCUACAGGAUGUGUGCUAUUCUACUACAGUCAAGUCGUGUGAUAAAACUGUUGUGUUCUACAGGAUGUGGUGCUGUUCUACUACGUCCGUGGUGUGGAUACUGCUCUGUUCUGACACACGUGAUCAUCAAGCUGGCUAGAAUGUUCCUGUGGAACAGCACCGUCACAUCGCAGUGUUAGGGCUGACUGACUGCUGGCACUUCUGGUCGAACUGUCGCCGGUUGGGCGUUUUCUGGACUGGGCUGGCUGUGGUGACUGGCUGGUGGCUGGCUGACUGGCUCGCGGCUGGCUGACUGGCUUGCUGGCUGACUGACUGGCUUGCUGGCUGGCUGGUUGGCUGACUUGGUGGGGGGGUUGUUUCAUUUUUGACGUAGUGCUAAUUGGGUUGAAUUUUAUUUAGCUCUUUUACUUUCCAUUGAUAUUCAACUGUUUCCAGUUAAACUUCUGUAGUAACAGGAUGUGACGUCAUACUGUCUCUGUGUGUAGGGUGAACGUGGCGCCAACGACCUGCCGUGGGAGUUCAUGGUGGAUCACUUCCCCUCCUGUCCUUCCUCUCUCGCCCAGACACAGGUAAGACAGAACACACACCUGUCCCUCUUCCUCAGACACAGGUAAGACGGAGCACCAUACCUGUCCUCCUCUUCCUCAGACACAGGCAGACAGAACACAUACCUGUCCUCCUCUUCCUCAGACACAGGUAAGACAGAACACACACCUGUCCUCCUCUUCCUCAGACACAGGUAAGACAGAAACACACACCUGUCUCCUCUUCCUCACAGUCAGCUCAGAGACAGAACACACACCUGUCCUCCUCUUCCUCAGACACAGGUAAACAGACACACCCUGUCCUCCUCUUCCUCAGAACACAGGUAAGACAGAACACACACCUGUCCUCCUCUUCCUCAGACACAGGUAAGACAGAACACACACCUGUCCUCCUCUUCCUCAGACACAGGUAAGACAGAACACACACCUGUCCUCCUCCUCUCAGACACAGGUAAGACAGAACAACCUGUCCUCCCCUCAGACACAGGUAAGACGAACACACACCUGUCCUCCUCUUCCUCAGACACAGGUAAGAACAGAACACACACCUGUCCUCCUCUUCCUCAGACACAGGUAAGACAGAACACACACCUGUCCUCCUCUUCCUCAGACACAGGUAAAGACAGAACACCACCUGUCCUCCUCUUCCUCAGACACAGGUAAGACAGAACACACACCUGUCCUCCUCUUCCUCAGACACGGUAAGACAGAACACACACCUGUCCUCCCUUCCUCAGACACAGGUAAGACAGAACACACACCUGUCCUCCUCUUCCUCAGACACAGGUAAGACAGAACACACACCUGUCCUCCUCUUCCUCAGACACAAGUAAGACAGAACACACACCUGUCCUCCUCUCCUCAGACACAGGUAAGACAGAACACACACUG